rnacentral:rRNA from 1 species
GUCUCAGUUCGGAUUGGAGUCUGCAACCCGACUCCAUGAAGCUGGAUUCGCUGUAAUCGCGCAUCAGCCACGGCGCGGUGAAUACGUUCCCGGGCCUUGUACACACCGCCCGUCAAGCCAUGGAAGCCGGGAGUGCCUGAAGUGCGUGAGCGCAAGCAGCGCCCUAAGGUAAAACCGGUGACUGGGGCUAAGUCGUAACAAGGUACC